GACGAACGCUGGCGGCGUGCUUAACACAUGCAAGUCGAACGGAAAGGCCCUGCUUUUGUGGGGUGCUCGAGUGGCGAACGGGUGAGUAACACGUGAGUAACCUGCCCUUGACUUUGGGAUAACUUCAGGAAACUGGGGCUAAUACCGGAUAGGAGCUCCUGCUGCAUGGUGGGGGUUGGAAAGUUUCGGCGGUUGGGGAUGGAUUCGCGGCUGAUCAGCUUGUUGGUGGGGUAGUGGGUUGCCAAGGCUUUGCAGGAUAGCCGGCUUGAGAGGGUGACCGGCCAGCCAGGGUGGGAGUGACAGCCCGCACAGAUUCGUGCGGGAGGAAGGAGUGGGGAAGAACGGAGAGCGGGCGCAUGAUGGAGCAACGCCGGGCGCGUGAGUGCGGCCGGCGUGUGGGAUGCAGCUUUCGCCUAUGACGGAGGGUAAGUACCGGAAAGGGGGAAUGAGGCACGGCCAAAUUAGUG
rnacentral:rRNA from 1 species